rnacentral:rRNA from 1 species
AUACGUAGGUGGCAAGCGUUGUCCGGAAUUAUUGGGCGUAAAGCGCGCGCAGGUGGUUCCUUAAGUCUGAUGUGAAAGCCCCCGGCUCAACCGGGGAGGGUCAUUGGAAACUGGGGAACUUGAGUGCAGAAGAGGAUAGUGGAAUUCCAAGUGUAGCGGUGAAAUGCGUAGAGAUUUGGAAGAACACCAGUGGCGAAGGCGACUGGCUGGUCUGUAACGGCCACGGAGGCGCGAAAGCGUGGGGAGCAAACAGGAUUAGAUUCCCUGGGAGCCCACGCCGUAAACGAUGAGUGCUAAGUGUUGGGGGGUUUCCGCCCCUCAGUGCUGCAGCUAACGCAUUAAGCACUCCGCCUGGGGAGUACGGUCGCAAGACUGAAACUCAAAUGAAUUGACGGGG